AAAAUGUUGAAUAAGCUUUAAAUAAGCCAAUGAACCUCAAAUUAUGAUUCUGACACAGUAAACGUACAACGGGCUCCUGCUGUUUCGCUCCUGAAGCUCAGUACAAAUCUAGGCUGAAAAAACCUCAUCUUCUCUCCACAGACGCAGAUCUACAGCCUCAGUGUCCAUGAAGAGUGACAGGUCUAAAGACCGUGAUCCAUGCUUCAGUCCUGAACCUGCUCCAGACUCACGACGCAGAUCUACAGCCUCAGUGUCCGUGAAGAGUGACAGGUCUAAAGACCGUGAUCCAUGCUUCAGUCCUGAACCUGCUCCAGACUCACGAAGCAGAUCUACAGCCUCAGUGUCCAUGAAGAGUGACUGGUCUAAAGACCGUGAUCCAUGCUUCAGUCCUGAACCUGCUCCAGACUCACGAGAAACAGAGUCAGAGCAGGACGCCUGGCCUCAGUGUGGAGACACAGGCAACAGUCCUGAUCAGUGGGUUCAAGGCCCUGCACCAGGUGAGUCUGCUCAGUCUGA
rnacentral:lncRNA from 1 species